rnacentral:rRNA from 1 species
GCGCAAGCCUGAUGCAGCCAUGCCGCGUGUAUGAAGAAGGCCUUCGGGUUGUAAAGUACUUUCACCAGUGAGGAAGGCGGAUGUGUUAAUAGCGCAUUUGUUUGACGUUAGCUGCAGAAGAAGCACCGGCUAACUCCGUGCCAGCAGCCGCGGUAAUACGGAGGGUGCGAGCGUUAAUCGGAAUUACUGGGCGUAAAGCGCAUGCAGGUGGUUUGUUAAGUCAGAUGUGAAAGCCCGGGGCUCAACCUCGGAAUUGCAUUUGAAACUGGCAGGCUAGAGUACUGUAGAGGGGGGUAGAAUUUCAGGUGUAGCGGUGAAAUGCGUAGAGAUCUGAAGGAAUACCGGUGGCGAAGGCGGCCCCCUGGACAGAUACUGACACUCAGAUGCGAAAGCGUGGGGAGCAAACAGGAUUAGAUACCCUGGUAGUCCACGCCGUCAACGAUGUCUACUUGGAGGUUGUGGCCUUGAGCCGUGGCUUUCGGAGCUAACGCGUUAAGUAGACCGC